rfam:Candidatus Falkowbacteria bacterium RIFCSPLOWO2_02_FTLL_45_21 rifcsplowo2_02_scaffold_8895, whole genome shotgun sequence.
UCUGGUGCUACUUGCGGCGGGGCCACACCUGAUCCCAUCCCGAACUCAGAAGUUAAGCCCGAUCGCGCCGAUGGUACUUGGGCAUUAGCCCUGGGAGAGUAGGUCAGCGCCGGAA